AAUGAACGCUGGCGGCGUGCUUAACACAUGCAAGUCGAACGGUAACAGGAAGUAGCUUGCUACUUUGCUGACGAGUGGCGCACGGGUGAGUAAUAUAUAGAUAAUGUGCCUCUUAGUCUGGGAUAGCCAUUGGAAACGAUGAUUAAUACUGGAUACUCCUUCUAAACUCAAGUUUAGUUGGGAAAGUUUUUCGCUAAGAGAUCGGUCUAUAUCCCAUCAGCUAGUUGGUAGUGUAAGAGACUACCAAGGCGAUGACGGGUAGCGGGUUUGAGAGGAUGAUCCGCCACACUGGUACUGAGACACGGACCAGAUUCCUACGGGAGGCAGCAGUGAGGAAUAUUGCACAAUGGGGGAAACCCUGAUGCAGCAACGCCGCGUGGAGGAUGACGCAUUUCGGUGUGUAAACUCCUUUUAUAUGUCAAGAAAAUGACGGUAGCAUGUGAAUAAGCACCGGCUAACUCCGUGCCAGCAGCCGCGGUAAUACGGAGGUGGCGAGCGUUGUUCGGAUUUAUUGGGCGUAAAGGGUCCGCAGGGGGCCGGUUAAGUCUGAUGUGAAAUCCCGGGGCUCAACCCCGGAACUGCAUUGGAAACUGAUUGGCUAGAGUACCGGAGAGGAAAGUGGAAUUCCAGGUGUAGCGGUGGGAUGCGUAGAUAUCUGGAAGAACACCAAAAGCGAAGGCAGCUUUCUGGACGGUUACUGACCCUCAGGGACGAAAGCGUGGGGAGCAAACAGGAUUAGAUACCCUGGUAGUCCACGCCGUAAACUUUGUGUACUUGAUGUGGGGGGAUUUAGCCCCCUCCGUGUCGGAGCUAACGCGUUAAGUACACCGCCUGGGGACUACGGCCGCAAGGCUAAAACUCAAAGGAAUUGACGG
rnacentral:rRNA from 1 species